CCUACGGGAGGCAGCAGUGAGGAAUAUUGGUCAAUGGACGAGAGUCUGAACCAGCCAAGUCGCGUGAGGGAAGACGGUCCUAUGGAUUGUAAACCUCUUUUGUCGGGGAGCAAAAGACGCCACGCGUGGCGUUCCGAGAGUACCCGAAGAAAAAGCAUCGGCUAACUCCGUGCCAGCAGCCGCGGUAAUACGGAGGAUGCGAGCGUUAUCCGGAUUUAUUGGGUUUAACGGGUGCGCAGGCGGAAGAUCAAGUCAGCGGUAAAAUUGAGAGGCUCAACCUCUUCGAGCCGUUGAAACUGGUUUUCUUGAGUGAGCGAGAAGUAUGCGGAAGGCGUGGUGUAGCGGUGAAAUGCAUAGAUAUCACGCAGAACUCCGAUUGCGAAGGCAGCAUACCGGCGCUCAACUGACGCUCAUGCACGAAAGUGUGGGUAUCGAACAGGAUUAGAUACCCUAGUAGUC
rnacentral:rRNA from 1 species